rnacentral:tRNA from 1 species
CUCCGUUAGUUUAAUUAUAAAACUUCUCACUUUCUAUGAGAUGAAAGAGUUUCUACGGCAGA